UUCAAGAUUCAUUAUCAUAUGGAUCGUUUCCGCCCAUUCCAAAUCAAGUGCUACAAACAAUAAGCAAAACACAAUAAGGAAAUCAAUCAUAGCCAUCCAUGACAUCCGGUGUUUGUGAUCAUUUGUCAUACAAUUAAGUAAUUUAUACGAUUCAACCAAGAGAAUCGUUGUAAAACUCAUUGAUUUGAUUAUUGGAUCGGUGUACCACAAAGCGUGACAAACAAACAAAAAAUAAUAAUAAAUGAGUAUCGUUACAUUCAAUGUCCAUAACGUUGUUAUUCUGAUUUCAAACGAAAUAAUAUAUCGAUGUUCAACGCAUUCAAUUCGGGUGGGUGGGUCUGGUGGAAAAUCCUUUUUUUCAAACUUUGAACAAGAAAAUUGGCUACAAUCAUUAGCAAAGAAAAAAGUAAUGACAAAAACAGAAAUUUUGUUGUUUUAUAAAUCUUUAUUUGAAGCAACCAAACCAUUCUGUAUUAUUAUCAUUAUUGUGUGAUAUUCCAAAUGGUAUAAUAUUCUUGAUUUGAAAAAAUGUGCUAUUUUUUUCAUGUCUUCAAAUGAUUGACUAUCAUCGAUAACAACAACAAACAUUAAAUCGAAUCGGCUGGUAUUGUUUUGUAGCACCUGAGCUCCAUACACCACCACCACCAACAACAACAACAACAACAGCAAAAACAUUUUUUUUUCCUUGGAACCAAGAUUAUUUGUCCUGGUGAUGAUACCAUCAUUUGAACAUAAACGCAAACGCACACACACACACACGUUUUUAAUGAUAAUGGUAAACAAAAAUUCAUCUAUGGUGUCCCUUUUCUAAAUCAUCAGCCAACAAUCCAAUCCAUUCAAUGGACUUUAUUGGCUAUUAUAUAAAAUAAAUAAAAUGAACCAGAAAAAUCCAGUCUCAGUGAUCUCAUCAGUUUUUUUUCCGGCACCAGAAAAAAAAUAACCCGGUAAAGUUUUAUAUAAAGAAUCUUGAUAAAGAUUGUUAUUUGUAUAAAUAUAUCAAACACAAAUUUUCUAUUAUUCUAAGCAAAUAUUAUAUACUUGGUUUGUAAAAUUUUUUUUCCCAUUACUAAUGUUCCAACUAACAACACACACACACACACAUUUGUCCCUAGGGCCAUAAUCCUAGUGUAUUUCCCACAUUUGUACUUCUUAUAUUCGUUUGGUUUUUUUUUUGUUUGUAAUA